UUAGUGGGGGAUAACCUGGGGAAACCCAGGCUAAUACCGCAUAAUCCCUACGGGGGAAAGCAGGGGACCUUCGGGCCUUGUGCUGAUGGAUGAGCUCGCGUCGGAUUAGCUUGUUGGUGAGGUAAUGGCUCACCAAGGCGACGAUCCGUAGCUGGUCUUAGAGGAUGAUCAGCCACACCGGGACUGAGACACGGCCCGGACUCCUACGGGAGGCAGCAGUGGGGAAUCUUGGACAA
rnacentral:rRNA from 1 species